ensembl:lncRNA
CUUGUUCCUCAUUCAUAAGUUGACUUGCCAACAAGAGAGUCAGGGAGUGAGAAGCAAAACUCACUUGUCUUUUAAUAGUCCCAUAUGUCCAAUGCGUAAAGCCAGUGGAGAAUGGAGGUUGAUGGUAGACUACCAUGGCCUGGCCUGAAUGAAGUCACACCCAAACUGAGUACUGCUGUGCUGGACAUGCUAGAACUCCAGUAUGAAUUGGAGUCAACAGCAGCCAAGUGGUAUGCCACCACUGACAUUGCUAAUGCCUUCUUCUUCAUUCCUUUGGCCACAGAAUGCAGGCCACAAUUUGCCUUCACCUGGAGGGGUAUUCAGUAUACCUGGAAUUGCUUGCCCCAGGGGUGAAAACACAGCCCAACAAUUUGUCAUGGGUUGAUCCAAGCUGUACUGGAACAGGGUGAUGCUCCUGAGCACUUACAGUAUAUUGAUGACAUUUUGUGGAACAACACAGCAGGGGAAGUUUUUUUUAAGAAAGGUGUUGUAGUAGGCGUCUUGCGGGGGCACGGGAUGUACGGGACAGGCCUCUCCCUAAACAUAGAGAGACAGUGCUAUCGUGCUGACCUUGUUGCAGAGAAAACAGGAGAAGAAGAAGGAUGAUAAAAGAAUGUGGAAACGGCCAAAUAAGGCACAAUGUUAUCUGGUGUGAACCAAUCAGAGUGGGACAUGACAGCACGGUUAUCUAGGUAAAAAUGUAUAUAAGCUGUGUUUAGUAGUGAAUAAACGCCAUUUUGCCUCACUUACUUCUGGGGUCUGCGUGAGCAUCUGGCCCCGACCUGGUAAAGGGUCGGUUUCGCCCAGCAGUAAGCCCUACACGUGGACAGAGGACGAACACCGGACGAGCAAACAGAGACUACACGCAACAAGUGGUGACCCCGACGUGAUCUGUCUGCUGAGGGUGGCUGCCCGGCGUGCCCGUGACGCGGAGAAGAGCCUGUGAGGUGGCGGCAGGUCGUGCACGGAAGACGUACUGCGGUUAAGAGCCUGCGAGGUGGCGGCAGGUCGCAUGCGUAACAAUGGACCAAGUCAUUAAGGUGGGACUUGCUCACCUCGGUGCUAUGCCAGCGCGCCAUGGCCAGUCAGAAGGCUACGGAACUUAAAACGUGGGGACUGAUAUUAGGAGCCCUUAAAGCGGCCAGAGUUGAGGGAAAGGUAUUGGUGGAGGCUCGAUACCUUUUGGGUCUCAGCGGAGGAGGUGAGACACAGGACCCGGUCGGGUCCGAUGGGGGUUCGGGAGCAGUUUCUUGCAGGGGCCGAGAGGAGACGGAGCCGCCAAUGACCGUUGGUGGGAUGGCGCCGGCUGAGCCGACCGUGCUCAGUUCAAAAGAAGACAAACAACAAGAGAGUGAAAGUUCGUUGUCUCGUCCCCCUCCCCCGUAUCCACACCCCUCAGGCGGAACGUUGUAUCCUUUAUCAGAAUGACGUCAGUGUUACCUGACUCAAGGGGGCGGAGGAAGCUGUGAUCUACACGGGCAGGAUCAACUUAGUGCCCACAUGGGGAGGGACCAGACAAAAGGUCCGUCCAAUGCGGACAGGGAGCAUAGCCUACUGUCUCUGGUCACUCCCAGGGGCGGUAGUGCGAGUGAUAGUGUAGAAGAGAAAGAAGGGACUGGCUUUGAGUGCAGGGGGAGGGAUCAAAUGACGGACUGGAAUGGGAUUAGAUCGGAGGCUUUGGGAAAGGGUAUAGUUCCAGAGGCAUUCCGGGUGAUUGUGAGUGAUCGUGGUCCCGAAUGGGUGCCGCCUGACCCCGGGGGUGUUACGCGCCUGGUGGAAUUUAUGGAUAAAAGAGGCCUGAAAUCGCCUCUGACAUUAAAUGCACUACAAACUUUGGCUGCACUGGGGCCUCUCUUCCCCCGUGACAUCACAAACUUAAUGCGUACGGUGCUCAGGCUGGUUCAAUAUACGUUAUGGGAGAUGGACUGGGUGGCCGAGUUGGGGGGCCGUGCCGGGGCGACAGGGGUCGGCCCGCGCCGCUCCCUGCAUGGGACCGGAAUACAGCGGCUUUCAGGGAAGGCCGUGGGAGUGGCUUCGCCCCAGGGCCAGCUAGCGAGACUAAGGCCAGGGGAGCUAAUAGCAGCCACAGGUGCAGUGGUGGAAGCGUUUAAUAAACUUGUGCAUAAGGCCGAACCACCUACUCCGUGCACAGAUAUUACCCAGGGCCCGAAUGAAUCCUUUCAAAGCUUUACAGACAGGCUUUUAGCUGCUGCAGAGGGGUCUGAUCUCCUGGUACCGGCCCAAGGGCCAGUGAUCAUUGACUGCUUGCAGCAGAAAUCGCAUGACAAUGUUAAGGCAUUGCUGCGAGCCGGCCGAAGUACGCUUAAUACCUCGGGAGCCGGCCGAAGUACGCUUAAUACCUCCGGAGAAGUUAUUCAGUAUGUCUUAGAUAAGCUCAAGGUGGCUCAUUUAACUAAUGAAAGGCUAGUCACAGCUAUUGUCGUAGCUGUUGGCCUGCGACAGCAAAGAUCGCUGCAGCAUCAAGGGCUGUGUUUCCGAUACGGCCAGUAUGGCCAUGUUAGAGCACAAUGCCCCUGUGGGGGAGGCCAGUCAGGGCCUCCUGAUCACAGGAAGGGAUUGCUAAAGGGUAUCCGUGGUCGGGUAUGCAGCAGUUAAAUAUCAUGAAUCUGGGAAAUUCUGUGGGUACCAUCGCGAAAAGUAAUACCAGAUAUAAGUAGCAUAUCUGCAAAAACUGAGUCUAGGUGCGAGUUUUCUACAGAAAUUCUUCGUUGGCAGACCGAAGCCAACUCCAGAACAACUGAGGGACAGACGAUGGGAUCAAGAACCACUCGUCAAGAGGAGCACUACACCUGCAACGCUGACACUUCCGAUGUUGCUGAUAUUUAUGGUGUCCAUGGCGAUUACAGAGUGUCACAAACAACUACAAUGGACACAAGAACAUAUGCAGAAAAUUAAAGAAGAGCGUGAUCCCUUUGGAAGCUGGCUGGACGGACUGUUUGGGGGAACGGGUUCAUGGUUAAAGCAAUUGCUUAAAGCUCUCGCAGUAGGAUUUGUAAUCUUUGUGUGUAUUCUAAUCUGUCUUCCAUGCUUUGUAGGAUGCUUGCAGAACUGCCUUCAACGAAUGAUGGACAAGACUUUUGACUAUCACAUUGAGUAUCAUAGAUUGCGUGAAAAAUUAUAGAGGGGUUUAGGUUGUUGCGUUCGUGCUGUAACGGGGCAAGGCUUGGCCGAGCACGGAAAAGAAUUCCCUGUUGCUCUGAUGAUUGCUUAAGAACUGUAGUAGAAAAUAGUAGGAAUAGUGUGCUGAAAUAUAUUUAGGAUUAGGCGUUUUGCGCUGCUUCGCGAUGUACGGGUUAGGUGUGUGUGUAAGUAGUAUUUAGCUUAGGAAGGGGGAGAUGUUGUAGUAGGCGUCUUGCGGGGGCACGGGAUGUACGGGACAGGCCUCUCCCUAAACAUAGAGAGACAGUGCUAUCGUGCUGACCUUGUUGCAGAGAAAACAGGAGAAGAAGAAGGAUGAUAAAAGAAUGUGGAAACGGCCAAAUAAGGCACAAUGUUAUCUGGUGUGAACCAAUCAGAGUGGGACAUGACAGCACGGUUAUCUAGGUAAAAAUGUAUAUAAGCUGUGUUUAGAAGUGAAUAAACGCCAUUUUGCCUCACUUACUUCUGGGGUCUGCGUGAGCAUCUGGCCCCGACCUGGUAAAGGGUCGGUUUCGCCCAGCAGUAAGCCCUACACGUGGACAGAGGACGAACACCGGACGAGCGAACGGAGACUACACGCAACAAAAGGAAAGCAAAUAAUCCAGAUCCUUCUGUGUGCUGGUUUUGCUAUUUAGUGAAGCAAAAUGAAAGGACCUGCCCAGGAUCAAUUCCUAGGUAUAAAGUGGCAAGAUGGACGUCAUCACAUCCCGACAGAUGUGAUCAAGAAAAUCACUGCCAUGUCUUCACCCACUAAUAAGAAAGAGUCACAAUCUUUUCUGGGUGUAGUGGGCUUUUGGAGAAUGCAUGUUCCAAACCACAGCCUCUUUGAAAGACCCCUUUAUCUCGUG